CAGCACCUCAAGUGGUCAGGAUGAUUAUUGGGCCUAAAGCAUCCGUAGCCGGCUCUGUAAGUUUUCGGUUAAAUCUGUACGCUCAACGUACAGGCUGCUGGGAAUACUGCAGAGCUAGGGAGUGGGAGAGGUAGACGGUACUCGGUAGGAAGGGGUAAAAUCCUUUGAUCUAUUGAUGACCACCUGUGGCGAAGGCGGUCUACCAGAACACGUCCGACGGUGAGGGAUGAAAGCUGGGGGAGCAAACCGGAUUAGAUACCCGAGUAGUCC
rnacentral:rRNA from 1 species